rnacentral:rRNA from 1 species
GACGAACGCUGGCGGCGUGCUUAACACAUGCAAGUCGAGCGGUAAGGCCCUUUCGGGGUACGACGAGCGGCGAACGGGUGAGUAACACGUGGGUGACCUGCCCUCCAGCUCUGGGAUAAGCCUGGGAAACCGGGUCUAAUACCGGAUAUGACUCCAUGACGCAUGUUGUGGGGUGGAAAGCCUUGUGCGGCUGAGGAUGGGCCCGCGGCCUAUCAGCUUGUUGGUGGGGUGAUGGCCUACCAAGGCGACGACGGGUAGCCGGCCUGAGAGGGCGACCGGCCACACUGGGACUGAGACACGGCCCAGACUCCUACGGGAGGCAGCAGUGGGGAAUCUUGCGCAAUGGGCGAAAGCCUGACGCAGCGACGCCGCGUGAGGGAUGACGGCCU